rnacentral:rRNA from 1 species
AGAACGAACGCUGGCGGCGUGCCUAACACAUGCAAGUCGAACGAGAAACCUCGGCUUCGGUUGAGGAAGUAAAGUGGCGCACGGGUGAGUAACGCGUGAGUAACCUACCCCGCUUGACUGGAAUAACGUCGGGAAACUGGCGCUAAUACCGGAUGAAAUCCCGGGUUGCAAGGCUACGGGAUCAAAGGAGGCCUCUCCAUGGAAGCUUCCACAAGGGGAUGGGCUCGCGUCCCAUUAGCUAGUUGGUAGGGUAAAAGCCUACCAAGGCGACGAUGGGUAGCCGGCCUGAGAGGGUGUCCGGCCACACUGGAACUGAAACACGGUCCAGACUCCUACGGGAGGCAGCAGUGAGGAAUUUGCGCAAGUGGGCGAAAGCCUGACGCAGCGACGCCGCGUGGCGAUGAAGCUUCUUGGAGUGAAAGCCCUGUCAGGUGGAACGAAUCCGGAGGUGACAAAUAGUGCCGUUUCGCUGACGUACCACCAGACGGAAGCCCGCUAACUCCGUCGCCAGUACGCCGACGGUAAUCUA